rnacentral:lncRNA from 1 species
UCUGGCCAAAACAUACAAAGGUUUUCCGCUGAUCCACCUUGGAUGUUAGAGGUCAAACUAAAUUUACUAACUAAACAGCUUGGCAUCUACUAUUACCGAUUCCAAGAGCGAUUUUGACGGAAAAAAAAAACCUUGUAAUUGAGAAUUAACGACCAAACCUUUCACGUACGUGAACAUUGCAACCAAUAGCAGAUCUCUUCUGGCCAAAACAACUAAAAGAAGGAUAACAAUGACCUACAAAAUCCCAUAUCAUGUAUCUAAAUGCAAUACAUACUUCGGAGGAUCAUCCUCUGAGUGGCAGGUUGGCAAGCAUUUGACAACACAAUUGAAACUGGGCAGCACGAAGAAAGCAAUCUGCCCACCAUCACAGAGAGAAGAAAUUAGCAAGGCACUGAUCGCUGCUUACAGAACUAAAUUUCUCAUGUAGAAAUCAGCUGAGCUUGUAAUGUCCACUGUAUCUGUAAAGCUAUGGCUUGAGAAAGAUUUAACUAUUUAGAACUACGUCUGAAACUUUCCUUGUGCUAAUAUAUUUGACGCACACACUGUUUAAGAUGAGGAUCUCAUUCCAACAAAACAUUGCUGUUACAGAACAUAAGGAGGUUCAGAAAGCCUUACAGAAUAUCUAUCUUGACCGCCAACCAAGACUCGAUGUAGUGUUGACCUGAAAAUGAUCCCCACAACAGAACAAUUUCAACAUCACGGAGAAGAAAGUUCAGCAAAUUAGAUAUUCAAUUAUUUUAUCUCCAAGAAACCAUAAAUUCCAGGCCCUCAACUAUAAAUUUUCAGGUUUCCUGAAUUAUCAAACUUCAUAACCCAACCAGUGAAUAUGGAUGACUGCUUUUACGAAGAGUUUGUAACUUCAGACAUCAGUGAUUGUUUUUCUUACACCGAAACCACCAUAAAGAUAAUAAUUAGGUUCAAUGUGUGCUAGAACAUGAGAACUCCUUGACUGAAACAGCUGUCUAAUUAAAAACUGAAUGCUUCUAAAAAAGACUGGUAAAAUAUGGGAACUCCUUGUCUGUGUUAGACAUUCAAUUAUUGGUGCAUAAUUUGUGUUAAAACACAGAUAAGAAAAAUGCAGUUGCAAUAGCUCAAGAUCCAUUAUCAUUUUUUCAGGAGGGGGAAAAAAGGAUUACUGUGCUUAGUAGAAACUCAUAAUUACCUGAAAGAACAAUUGCUCCAGCGCUCCAGUAAAUCUCCAAGAUUCACAAUAAAUGCUCUGCGUACCGUGUAUCAACUAUUUAUUUGCAGCCAUCAUAGAAUGCAGCAUGAUACUUAUCAUUGGGACUAAUCUAUAAGAGUUAUGCUGCAACAAUAAUUUAACAAGUAGUCCUCAAAUAAAAAUAAGAAUGGCAGAAUGCCAAGAGCAUAACCAUAAGAAAGUUCUUUAGGUUAAUGACCUAUACUAAUUCAUAAGCUGAAGACUUUUUGAUCUAUGGAGUGACAGCAUAAUAUCCUUUUUUAAUUUUUUUUUAAUAUAUGUAUGAUGAAAUGUCCAAACACACCAAACAAGGAAUCAUGAACAGAAAAUUCGUUUCUACUUGAGAGAAACUGAUCGUUGAGAGAAAAAGGCCUUACCCUUUCACUGGUGACACAUAUUCCCAAAUCUGAGGCUCAACAUGCUUGUCCUUGCAUAUCUGCAAUGGAACAGCAGGUUCAUGGUCCCACUCAAGAAUAAUUAUGGGAUCAUUCCUAAUCAAUCUAAUUCCAACGUUUGUGUAUACCUGAAGACCAGUGACAUCAUCUGUGGCUAACAAGGUAAGCAAGCCAAAGUCACUGUGGGCACCUGCACCAUAUAUUCCUCUCUCUGGUUCAGAGAUUUUACCUGAAAUUAAUCAAGCUCAUGUCAGCUUAUAAAUACUGCCUUCUUUAGGAAACUGUCCACAACCUGACCUUCAUAAUGUAGCAGCCGCAAAGUUGCAAUAGGAUCGCCUAGCAUUUCUGAUUGAUCAAAAAAGUUUCCAUCCAGGUCAAGUGCUAGGGCUAUAAUUCUAGCAACUGCCCUUGCAACCUCACUGAACGCAAGAAUAAAGAUAGAGAGGAUGUCAGUAUCAAACAAGCUGUAAAAGCAGUCUGCAAGAUGUAGAGCUAAAUGUAGGAAGAUUUGGAAAGAACUGCUGAAAGUACAUCACAAGAUAAUAAUCAAGAACCUUUCAAAUUUGGCAAUAGAAAAGAUGCAGAACCAGACAAUGACUUCAGUUUCAUUUCAACAUCAUUGACUAGUAUUGUACCUUGGAACAAGAUAAGCCUUUGCAAAAUGAAAAGCACCAAUAUUUCAAUGGUCAAAUGAUGAACAAAAUGAUAGGUUCUCGCUUGAGAAAUGUGGUGAUCAUUGUUUAAUUACCUGAUAAUUAAACACAGAAUUCCAUUCUUCAAACUAGGAAGAAUUAACAGUGAAUGUGUGGAUUCAAGCAAGUGCUUAAAGACAUCAUAGGUGAGUCAAAAAAUUGUGUCUAAGUCUAAUCAAUUAAUGUAUUAGAAAUGAGAGCGAAUACAAAAGCUAUGUAUUUGGACUUACUCAACACGAUUUGAUGACACAUAUUCAUCAAUAAUGACUGUUCCACUAAAAGAAAUAAUGAUUUAUCUGAUUUUGUAAAUAUGCAACUGCAUGGGAGCAGAGAUAUAACAUCUUAUGCACUAGUGACAUCGAAUUAAGUAAUUUAACCGGAUGGCCAGCAAUUUACAAUCUAAGUGUCCCAACCACCAAUUUCAUCAGAAUUUAACACAUCAAAUGUUGUUAAGGUGAUGGAAAUGCAAAUUGGUUAAGAAAAAAAUAUACCCUUGCACCCAAAGAUGAUUAAUCAAUAUGAUUAACUAAAUUAAUCUGCUGCUUACUCAUACAACAGCAAAGAUGAUUCAGGUCAGUACUUGACAUUAAGUUACUUCUGCAGCACCGAUGAGUACAACCACAUGCAAGAAAAAUAGAUAGUUUUUCUGAUACAUGAUAGGCAUCUCAAUACUUACAGUGCUUCGCGGUGGUAUCUCUCCAUAGUUUCUCUCCAUCCAGGCAAAAUAUCUUUACAGAAAAAAAAAAUUCCACUUUUAACCAAAAGAUUUGCAAGAUUUAUGAAGCAAGAUUGAUGUUCAACAUGUAACAAUAAUUGCGUAGCAAAGUUACCUGCUGUAGGCCACAAGUUUGGUCCACGAAAUGGUUUUUCGGCUUGAGGAUCAUCUUCUGGUAUUUCCACACCAAUGUAAUAUCCUUCUUUAUAAUCUCCUACAAGAACAUCAGGGCGCAGAAAUGCUUAGCUCAAAUAAAAACACGAACUUAGUUCUGCUGCUCAUUCUGGUAAGUGGCAUGUACAAACAUCACAUAAGAGAACAGAGGAUGCAGAAAGAAAAGGAGCAUAUAAACAACAUAAAAGAGGCCUGAUAAGUGACAUUUGAUAGCAAUGCAAAUAUAGCCACAACCAGGAGUUGAUAUAGUCAACAUGUAAGGCCGGAAAGUGUAGCUGAAAAUGAAAAUACUCUAAAGCGACAAGAGAAUGAACUCCAACUAUUCACUUGUAUAAUGCAUUGGCUACACCUGUCCUUAUAUUCUGGUAUUAACAACCAUCGGAUAUAAAAAUUAGGAUAAACGCAAUAGGUAUGAGAAAACAAACCAUGUAUCUGGUUGACAGGAUCCAGAUGCUGAUCUAGAAGAGGAGUGUAACCACGGUUUUUUUCAUUCCUGAGAAGCUUCAUCUUUUCAUCAAGUGGUAGACUAAAGAACCUUUUGCUUUGAGAAAAGACCUCAUCCAUAAAUUCUGGGCUGAUACCAUGAUUGACUACAUAAAAAAAUCCAGAGUCCAAGCAAGCCUAAAUAAACGAUAACAUCGUUAGGAAUAAGUAACUCAACUCCCAGAAUGAUUCCAAUCAUUGGUAAGCACUGAUAUGGAGAAUGGAAACGGCUUUAGAUAAAGGUGUAUAUUAUUGUAAGAGUAUUUGUGCAGGCAAGAACAGGUUAUCCAUGUAUAGCUGCAAUAGCAAAUUAAUGCAGCACUAAUCAAUAAAAGUGAUCAUAAAAUUGAGAUGCAGAGUUACGUUACGUUACUUACUGUAUCUAUUGCAUCGUUGCAUGGAAAAACUAUAUACUAACUUAACAACUGAACAAUUCAUUACUUGCUAAGAAGUAUUAGUCCCAAUUUCUACUCAUAUAUUCACUCCUUCAGUUCUUCAACCUUCAAACUAAAUUACUCAUCAUCGGAAAAAACUGUAAAUUUACCCCACAGAUAGGCCAAAGAAUGCACUAAAAUAAACAUAAAUCGAACGAUAGCAGGUGUUGUGGGGGGGGGGGGGGAAUAAAAAGAAAAGGAGGAGUGGAGUGCCUGCCUGUCUGAGGAGAGAGACAGAUUUUUGUAUGUCGGAAUUGGAGAGGUCUAUACAAUUCAGUGCCGCCAUAUUUGCAGAUGCUGCCGGAAGCUUUUGUUCGUCGAUAGCUUUUUCAACUCUAUGGUCUAAGAGCAAAUAUUAAGAACACCGAAAAGAGUGAUGAGUCCGCUAUAUAUAAAAAAAAAAAAAAAAAAUCUGACAGGCGACUGGUACGUAUGCCUCCUCAUGUCUACCUCUUGACUUUGAGGUUAGGAAAAAAAACCACCGGUCCGCACCAGACAUGAGGAGGCAUACCUGCCAGACGCCUGUAGUAAUGUAGUGUACAAGCAGUCGGUCCAAUUUCUACCUCUUGACUUUGAGGUUAGAAAUUGGAAUUUUGCAGAUAAGAUAACACCGAAACAGGUCUCUUAUCCGGAUAACACCGAUCUUAUGAAACUAAUAAAAUAAGCUAUUAUUAUAUCAAGUGAAAUAUUGGAGAAAGAAGUAGAGAAAUAGAGAGUGAUAUUCUUAUAUUCCAAUAAGAUACAAAAGUCAAACCAAAGGGUGUCAAUGUAUCUCUAUAUAUAGGUACUACAAGAUUAAAGGUACAUCAAUUCUAUUAAACACCCACUAUUACAAGAAUAUGAAGAAACUCAUGAAACGGUUUCUCCACUACAUGAGUAGAUUUAUGGAUUGUAACUUCUAUACAUAAUAUAGUCAUAAAUCAUGAAUUAAUCCUCUUGAAAAUACAAAGGGACAUCCACACUUUAAAUUGUUUCAUAACACUCCCCCUUGGAUGUCCAUUACACAAAAAAUAUGCCUCGUUAAAACUUUACUAGAGAAAAAUUCAUCGGGACAAAAACCCUAUGAAGGAAAAAGAGUACACUAUUCCUGUGUAUUAAUUUCUCCCACUGAUGCAAACAUCAUUUGAGAUCUUUUAAUCGUCGCAUUUCAAUAUUCUUCGCCAAUUGCACUGAGAUAUGGUACUUCAGGACCAAGUAUCUCUUCAUUUUCCUCUUGCGGUCUAAAAGGAUCCUUAUUAGGAUCUAAUGAUCUGACAACCAUUGGAAUACUUAAUGUAUGUACCUUAUUCAUAUAAAAUCGCUUUAAUACCUUCUGGGUAUAAGCAGUUUGGUGGACAAAAAUUUCACUUUUCAAAUGCUCAAUUUGUAAAUCAAGGUAGAAUUUUGUUUUUCCAAAAUUCUUGAUCUCAAAAUCCUUCUUCAAAUAUUCAACAUUAUUUUGAAUUUCUUCCGGAGUUCCAAUCAGAUUUAGAUCAUCAAUAUAUAUAACAAUGAUCACAAAAUUUGAUGCAUUUUUUUUUUAUAAAAACACAUGGACAUAUUGGAUCAUUGGUAUAACGUUCUUUAGUUAGACAUUCAUUGAGGCGGUUAUACCACAUACGUUCAGAUUGUUUGAGGCCAUACAAAGACCUUUGUAAUUUAAUAGAAUAAAUAUCUUUAGGAUUUGAUUUGCAUGCUUCAGGCAUGUUGAAUCCUUCGGAGAUUCUCAUAUAAAUAUCAUUUUCAAGAUUUUCAUAUAAAUAUGCAGUAACGACGUCCAUUAGACGCAUAUCUAGUUUUUUCAUGUACUGCAAAACUCAUAAGAUAUUUAAAUAUGAUAGUAUCCACUACAGGUGAUUACGUUUCAUCAUAAUCAAAUCCAGGCCUUUGUGAAAAUCCUUGGGGUCCAAGUCUUGCCUUAUACCUCACAAUUUUAUUUUUCUUAUUUCUUUUUAUCACAAAUACCCAUUUAUAUUCUACUGGCUUUACACCUUCAGGUGUUUGGACUACAAGUCCAAAACUUUUCUUUUAACCAGUGAGUCUAAUUCAGAUUGGAUCACAUCUUUUCAUUUUGACCGAUCAUUUCUAUACCGACAUUCAUCAAUCGAUUUAGAUUCAUAAUUCUCGUUAAUUUCUAUAAUAUCAAGUGCUACAUUUUAUUAGGCUCCAAUUAAAUUUUCUAUGAUUUCAUUCUCUUCAGGAGUUGGCUCUUCGGGAGCGACCUCUUCAAGGGGUUGAAUUUUAUCAUGACAUUUAUUUAAUCUCCGGAGUUAUUCGAAAUCAAUUUAUACCUUAUUUAGGUAGGCCGGCCUUAAAUUUAUUUAUAGCACUUGUGCAUGUCCUUCAGGGACAUCAAUUUUAACCAAAGUAUUUCCUGCAGGAAUAGUUGAUUUAAUGACUCUUCUGGAGUCGAUAAAUAUAACUUUCUACAAAUGAAGAAUUUCUUGAACUUCUAGUUUACAUUAUUUUGUAUGAGGAUCGAGGAAAUUCAAUUUUUCAGGUGAUUUUCUUUCGGUUGAUUUUUUCCUCCCCCUAAUGUCGGGAAUCGUAGCUCAUCAGAAUAAAUAAAUCAUUCAAUAGAUCACUCAUCAAUACUCAUUAAUAUUUCUAACUCAAAAACUUAUUUCAAUUUCUAACUGCUAAUCUUACAAAACAAGAGUUCGUACCUCUUGAUAUUUCUGAAAAAAAUUAUUUAUCAUAGGUAUUAGAUGUUGAAAUUCAUCUUAAGGCAAUGGGUCUUGGUAAUACUAUUGUGGAAAAAAAUGAAUUCUCAAGUCAAGACCGUGCCAAAGUUAUGAUUUUCCUUCGUCAUCAUGUAGAUGAAGGAUUACAAAUAGAGUAUCUUACUGUUAAAGAUCCUCUUGUCCUUUGGCGAGAUUUGAAAGAAAGAUUCGACCACCUGAAGUUGGUCGUUCUUCCAAAAGCCCGAUAUGAUUGGCUUCACUUACGCUGCAAGAUUUUAAAUCUGUCAACGAAUAUAAUUCAGCCAUGUUCAGAAUAACUUCUCAAUUAUCAUUAUGUGGCGAAAAAAUCACUGAUGAAGAUAUGUUAGAGAAAAUAUUUUCUACUUUUCAUGUCUCUAACAUGCUCCUGCAGCAGCAAUAUCGAGAGAAGGGAUUUAAAAAAUAUUCUGAACUUAUCGCAUGUCUUCUCUUGACUGAACAAAACAAUGAGUUAUUGCUGAAAAAUCAUGAGUCCCGACCAACUGGUGCAAGUCCAUUCCCUGAAGCGAAUGCGACCCAAUUUUAAAAUUCUGGUCGAGGCCGUGGACGUGGCCAUAGAUGUGGCCGUGGAGGAGGCCGUGGACGUGGCCGUGGCCGUGGACGUGAUCGUAGUAAAUUUGUGCCCCGCGAAAAUUUUAACCGUGGCAAACAACAAAAUGUUUUCCAAAAGAGGGAAAAUAACUACGAUCAGAAAAAUGGAGAAAAUAAAGUUUAUGAAGAAAAAUGCUACCGAUGGGGUAUGGAAGGUCAUUGGUCCCGUACCUGUCGUACGGCUGAACAUCUUGUUGACCUCUAUCAAGCAUCAUUGAAAAAGAAAGACAAAGGUGUUGAGAUAAAUUUCAUUGAUCAAAAGAAUGAUUAUGAUGAUGGUGAUGAUGUUGAUAUGACACACCUCUAUGUAGCUGAUUUUUUUGAGCAUCCUGAAGAUGUCAACAAAUAUCCCAUGAUUAUUUAAAUAUUUUUAUGAUGCUUUAUAUCUUUCAUGUAAUUUCCUUUCCAUUGAAUAUUUAUUUUCGCAUCUUUAUUAAUAUUUAUUUUUGUUUGAAAUUUUCUUCCUGAAGAAGAAAUAGAUGUCAAAUAUUUGAAAUUAAAUAAUGGUGAUGAUAAUAUUUGUCUCAUUGAUAGUGUUACUACGCACCAUAUUGAAAAAUAAAAAAUAUUUUUCUUGUUUGAAAAUGGGGGAUACAAACGUUAAUACCAUUAGUGGUAGUGCAAAAUUGAUUGAAAGCUCCGGAAGAGCCACUAUAUUUCUUCCUGAAGGGACUAAAAUUAUUGUAAAUAAUGCACUAUUCUCUACCAAGUCUCGAAGAAACUUAUUGAGUUUUAAAGAUAUCCGCGAAAAUGGAUAUCAUAUCGAGACAAUGACUGAGACAAAUGGUGAAUUUUUAUUACUCACAAGUAUCAUUUCUGAAAAAAAAUGCGUAGUAGAAAAAUUACCUUCUUUUUCUUCUGGAUUAUAUUAUGCACAAAUUAGUGCAAUUGAAAUUCAUCACCUAGUAGACCAGAAGUUUACUCUUCCUAAUGAUUUUAUGGUUUGGCAUGAUCGUCUCGGACAUUCCGGAUCUAUAAUGAUGAGACGAAUAAUUGAGAAUUCACAUGGCCACUCAUUGAAAAAUCAAAAAGUAUUAACAGCCAAUGAAUUCUCUUGUGUUGCUUGUUCUCAAGAGAAAUUAAUUAUUAGACCAUCACAAGUCAAAGUUGGGACUGAAUCUCCUGCAUUUCUAGAAUGAAUUCAUGGUGAUAUAUGUGAGCCUGUAAAUCCACCAUAUGGACCAUUUCGAUAUUUUAUGGUGCUAAUUGAUGUAUCAACUAGAUGGUCACAUGUAUGUUUAUUAUCUACUCGUAAUUUGGCGUUUGAGAGAUUGCUUGCUCAAAUAAUUAAAUUGCGAGCACAAUUCCCAAAUUACCCAAUAAAGAAAAUUCGUCUAAAUAAUGGUGGUGAAUAUUCCUCACAUGCUUGUGACGAUUAUUGUAUGUCCAUUGGAAUAACUGUUGAACAUCCUGUAACUUAUGUUCACACACAAAAUGGUCUAGUCGAAUCACUUAUUAAACACCCACUAUUACAAAAAUAUGAAGAAACUUAUGAAACGAUUUCUCCACUAUAUGAGUAGAUUUAUAGAUUGUAACUUCUAUAUAUAAUAUAGCCAUAAAUCAUGAAUUAAUCCUUUUGGGAGUACAAAGGGACAUCCACACUUUAAAUUGUUUCAUAACAACCGAAACAUUUUUGUGCCACAAAAGUGUGCAUGGACUCAUUUAAUUCUUUUGUGGAUAAGUACCGAUGCGUUUACGUGUUAAAUUUUUUUUAGAAAAAUGGAGAUCAAUUGAAAAGGCAUAUAAAUGCAAGAGAAGUUAAUAACUACAAGUGUCUUCUUUAUUGAUAUAAUAGAUUAAAUAUUAUUUAGAUAUGCUAACAAAGUGUCCGUAAACACUUAUUAGAAAAACCUAAGAAUAAAAGAACUAUUUGGAUUCAUCAGUUUUUUUAAAAUUAAUUUUUUAUAUACUAUAAAAUUUUUUAAAAAUAUUUUAAAAAGUAGUCUAAAUUAUUUUUAAUAUUUUAAAAUAUAUUCUAAAUAUUCUACUACCCUUAAAUAUCUCAAAAUAUACUCUAAAAACUCUGCUACAGUAAACCCAAAAGGAUUUCAAAAACACUCUAAAAAAAAAUAGCUAAUCCAAACGGAUAGAAUCGUUAAUCCCAGAAGGAGAAGAAAUACGUCUUUAAACUAUUACAACACAAAUGCGUUAACGCAGCUUUGGAUCCUAUGUCUCGGUGCAUUGCAUAUCUGCUUAUAAAAAGAGAAACAAAGGGGAAAAAUGACAAACUCGGGGAAUAGAAGGAAGUAAAGGACGUCUGCAUCUUCCAUUCCAUAUCUAAUAAAGGAGAAGGAAUAUUCAUAACAAAUUGUAACGUCCAAUUAAUCCAUAUCUACGUACCUUUGUCUGGUUAUAGUUCUCCUCCAUAGUUGUCAUGGACAGAGCCAUCUCCAGAUCAAACAUUCCUUCCAUUGGAUUUGGCACGAGAUUUUAUAAUUAGGAUAUAGGCUAGCUAGGAAUUACUCACCAGUUAUCUGGGAUUGCGGGUAUUUUGUAGUGUCUUGCGAUCUUUCUUUUGCUUGGACGUGGAUGUACUAUACUAUAGUACAUCAUAAAAUUAAAUCUGAAUUUUAAAUCUGAAUCCAAUUAAAUCAUAAAAAAUUAAUGGAAGUAAUCACUAAUAACUGUAAUCUAACCAGGCACAAUAUUCUGGCCUAGAUCAUCUCCCGAGACAGGGACAUUAGGCAUUUGGGCAAAAGAUGGUGUGUAUGGCAACAUUAGUCGUUUGGGCAAAGAUGGUAUGUCAUUUAUGAAGCAGUAUCAAAUUUUCGGAUCAUCCACCGCAAAUAAUAAAAGCCAGCCAGCCAGAGCCAGAUGUCUUCUGACAUCCAAACAAAUAUGCACACAGGAUAUGGUGAAUCAGAAGCAUAGACGAGAGAUUAAUGACCUGCUAAUAAAACUAACGUUGUUUACGUCUAACCUGCUGUCUACCGAUAAUCCGGAAAGAGUGACCAGCAUGAUGGAUCUCUUGGAAACAACAAAAUUUUAUGUACUAGAUUUCUGUAACAUUUCAUAUCAUUCAUAAUGUAACGGCUGAAUAUACAAUUUCAUGUAUUUUAACGUUUCAAAAUCUGGACUAUUUCAGCUAAGUCAUAAUUUUUGUGUUCCUAACCAUCAAAUACUAGGGAAAAACCAACUGAUAAGAAUGUACAUCUACCAUCCGUUACAUGAAACAACUGAUCAGCAAAAGGUUCAACAACCUUGCCAAUGAGGGACGAACGCCCCCAGGGCAUAUGGUGCAGCGGUUGAGGGGUCAACCUUGUGUUGCUGGUUUCCCCAUUAACCAGGGUUUGAUUCGUACCCUGGUCCCCACUGACCAGGGUUCGUGCCCGCUGCGUCGCACAUCCUGACUCGCCCAGAAAAGCUGUAUGGGGCUGUCGGCUUCCCUCCGGUUUGGUGUGUCGGCUCGGAUCCAAAGGCUUUGGGUCGGGACAUGUUCCGGGUUACCCAAAAAAAAAAAAUCAGGGACGAACUAUCCUAGGAGCUCAGAUCAGCAUGCGUAUCUUCAUAUCUCUGCACCAAGUAAGCUCCACAUGUGAUGGGUGGGAACCUGAACACAGAUACAAUAAAUCAAUGGCACAAUGACACCAUUACAUCUGGCCAAAACAUACAAAGGUUUUCCGCUGAUCCACCUUGGAUGUUAUAGGUCAAACUAAAUUUACUAACUCAACAGCUUGGCAUCUACUAUUACCGGUUCCAAGAGUGAAAAAAAAACUUGUAAUUGAGAAUUUACGACCAAACCUUUCACGUACGUGAACAUUGCAACCAAUAGCAGAUCUCUUCUGGCCAAAACAACUAAAUGAAGAUAAUAAUGACCGACAAAAUCCCAUAUCAUGUAUCUAAAUGCAAUACAUACUUCGGAGGAUUAUCCUCUGACUGGCAGGUUGGCAGGCAUUUGACAACACAAUUGAAACUGGGCAGCACGAAGAAAGCAAUCUGCCCACCAUGACAGAGAGAAGAAGUUAGCAAGGCCCUGAUUGCUGCUUACAGAACUAAAUUUCUUACGGAGAAAUCAGCUGAGCUUGUAACGUCCACUGUAUCUGUAAAGCUAUGGCUUGAGAAAGAUUUAACUAUUUAGAACUACGUUUGAAACUUUCCUUGUGCUAAUGUAUUUGACGCAGACACUGUUUAAGAUGAGGAUCUCAUUCCAACAAAACAUUGCUGUUACAGAACAUAUGGAGGUUCAGAAAGCCUUACAGA